rnacentral:rRNA from 1 species
GGGGGGGGGGGGGGGGGGGGGGGGGGGGGGGAGGGGGGGGGGGGGCGCGGGGGGGGCGGGCGCUGGCGGGUGGCGGGGGGCGGGCGGGGGAGGAAGACAUCGGAAUCUACUUUUUCGUGGGGGAUAACGUAGGGAAACUUACGCUAAUACCGCAUACGACCUACGGGGGAAAGCAGGGGAUCUUCGGACCUUGCGCGAUUGAAUGAGCCGAUGUCGGAUUAGCUAGUUGGCGGGGUAAAGGCCCACCAAGGCGACGAUCCGUAGCUGGUCUGAGAGGAUGAUCAGCCACACUGGAACUGAGACACGGUCCAGACUCCUACGGGAGGCAGCAGUGGGGAAUAUUGGACAAUGGGCGCAAGCCUGAUCCAGCCAUACCGCGUGGGUGAAGAAGGCCUUCGGGUUGUAAAGCCCUUUUGUUGGGAAAGAAAAGCAGCAGGUUAAUACCCCGCUGUUCUGACGGUACCCAAAGAAUAAGCACCGGCUAACUUCGUG